CUGUGAUGAUUAUUCUCGCCUGGACCGUUAUGCUGACAUUGCAAAGGGAGGCGUAGUUGGUGGCGCUGGGGCAUAGAUAACGCUGGGGAAUAGGGGAAUACUACCAUCAAAAAGCUCACAUAAAGAAUAUUCAAAUAAAACGAAAGCACAAAAUGCUUAGGAAUGAAAGUGUUACAUAAGUGCUGAAGUGCAACAAAAAUUGCAACCAUUUCGAAUAAUACCCUGCACCCUGCACAUAUGCACGCACAUCCACGGAUAUGAAAAGAGAAGUGAAUAAAAAAUUAUAAUUACGAUGUGUAUAAAACUCGCCUGCACAAUUUAAGAAUCCAGAUCGAGAAGCAAGAGCUCGGCUGACUUUGAAUGCGCUAUAACACAGUAUAUUUACUUAUAUAAUCCUGGAUGCUACAAAUGCAAAUUACUCUUGGCAAUUUUUGUGUGAUGACUUUCAAACGUCUGAAUUCAGAGGCUGUUAAGGAAGCGUUGUUUGUUACAGAUGAAAUAUAAUAUGAAAGAGACGCGUCAGUAACAAUUUCUAAAGCUCGGCAACCCACUACGUCCUUUUGCGACAUCAUUUCAUUUUAACAAAUCCGCAACCUGAGUGUUUAAAAAUUUUUCGAUUCCAACACAACUGUUAUGUUUACAGUCGAUCUCAAAGAUCAGUAAGUUUAACUGAGUUUAACUCUCUUAUUGUUCAUAUUCACCAAGUUUACCUGAACUCGCUAAGUCCUAAUGUUUCCACAUGCGAAUAUGCACUUAUGUGCCACCUAAUGCGAAUGAGUAAGCAUAAGUUCCACAAGUAGUUGGGGUCGAGUAACCGUCGAGUGCACACAUCAGGAUGCAUAAAUAAACAAUUUUUUGUACUCAAAAUCAUAACCUAACAACACUCGCAAGACAGACAGCAAAAAACAAAUAAUUUAUGCCGAGAGGUAGGUACUCAGGUUUAUUUUUUUAAUGAAUGGCGAAAUGACGGGAAUAGCUGUAGUCUUUAUUACAUCGUAGCCAAAAUUGAAAAGGCUCACGCAGCCGUGAAGCCAACCAUCGCCAGAGACUUUUUUUACAAACGUACAAAAAUGUGUUCAUAUGUAUAAUAUUAUAGCUAAUACAGACAUUCAUACAUAUGUACGUACAUAUGUAUAUGUUAAAGUAUCGCACUUAGCAUAGCAUCUGCAGAUCUAUCCUGUGUCACAAUUAACACACUCGCACACAGGGACCUCGUAGCACAGCUUACCAGACUUCUUCAAUUGCCAAGUAUUUCUUACUGUCUGUUACCUGCACACUACUUCCUUUUUUAAGCCAAUAUAAAUACUAUAUCAACGUUUAAUCCAACAUCAAUAAUGAUGCGUUUAAUAAAUCUAGGGUCCUCAGCUACGUUCAAGCAACUUAUUUGCGACUUCUACUCAACAUCGUUUUUGCAGGUCUAUUAAAAAGUUCAUGAGAGAUUUCGAUAUCCGCUAUCUCUCUGAUGCCAUCACGAGAAUUUUCAAGCACUGUUUCUUUAACAGCGGUGGAUGGACUACUCGCAUGAAAAGUCUUUGGUGACUUCACGAUUUUCAAUAAUUUGUGCCACUCGAGUAAUUUGGUUCGUAAUAAGGUAGACUCCCUAAGACAAUUCUGCAACAAUUUCAAUGAUUUCCGUAACAGUCCGUGUAAAUUUUGGUGUUACAGCCAGUAUCGAGCCCAUCAGGAGUAACAACAACAGUAAUGUUUAACAGCUUUAAAGGAAUAAAAGGAGAAAAGUAGAGCCUGUGCGACUUGGCCUUCGUAUACAUCCAAAUGGGUUAUGUGUAUUAAAAAAAUGUACAUAUGUGCAUUAAAUUGGAUUAUUUUCCUAUGAAAAUAUGCAAAAAUAAUGCAAUAUUAGUAUUUUUAAAUUUUUGGUCUGUGGUGAACCAGCUAGUGUAAAUGCCCAUACAUAUGUAUGUUGGUAUUGCAACAUAAAAUGUUCCUCCCAACGCCGGAUGAUGAAAAUUUGGAUCUGCCCAGUUUAUGAAAAUCUAAUCGUCAUUGGAAUGACGAAUGAUGGAUAUAAAUUUCAAAAACUUAGUAAUUUCACUACUUUGUCAAGAGAUUGAAUAAUCCGUUUACACAUAAAUAAAAACAUAAGAUUUGUCGCCGGAUUGAAAUUUCUACAUAUUUAUUUUAAAUAAUUCGUUUUUGGAAACAUUUGUUUUUGUAUUAUUGAAUACUGUUGGCUUUGUUUUACGAAUGUCUAUUGUAGUGUUGUUACCUUUGUAAGAAAAAAAUAGAGUGAAUUUGUUUAAAUAAUAUAUAUGAUCAAAUAAUAAAACGCAAUUAUUUAAUUCCGAUAUAAAAAAACAAAUUAGGAAUACAAUCGCUGAGCUAAUUUAGCUAGAAGUGCUCGAUUUGACGUAUAAGACUUCAUUUUGCAGAUACAAAUGUAUGUGCAUAUGUGUGUAGUAAGUUUGUAAUCAGUGCGAAAAACUAGUUUCGGCUUUUAACCCACUGUUCAACCCGGGAAUUCCUCAUAAACACAUGUACUUAUGCCAAAAGUUUAUAUUUUAUUUAAAUUCUCAUUUCACCAGAUCAAGAUAGGUAUAAUUAAAUUUUUAUAUUGUUCGGUUAAAAUAUUGUUCAAUAUUGGAAUUGAUUUAUUACUGAAUUUUUACCAUUGCUUCAGGGUGGACCAAAAGGUGUCCUAAUGCCUAAAUAAUGAGAAAAACUAGAUAAAUAAGCUUUUAUUUUUGCAAUAUAAAAAAAAUAAGUUGAAGUUUGAUUAGAAGUACGAAAAUACUUUUUCGACUACCCAAUAUUUGAAUUUCGGAUUGCGGUUAAAAAGAUGUUCCGAUUUUCGGGUACAGUAAUACGAGUUCAGGUUGUUCAUGACAAAGGUUUUCGGAAACUAUUUUAAAUUUUCAUUAUCGAAAAAUCCUUGCUUCGACCGUAAUCUUGCAUUUCCUAACCCGACAUCGCUCUCACGUACACAUUCAAAUAUGAAGGGACUUAUGGUCCACCCUGUAUUUUGCAUGCCCAUCCACACAUUUGAUCGGGCGCAAUUGAAAAUAUUCCCGCGGUUCGACUUUGAAAUUUAUCAACGGUCUUACACAUACUAUGUUUUUUAUAUUUGAUAAAAGUUGUAUAUUUAUAAUUCAGUUAUUUCAUUCAUUAUAUUUAUUGUGUUUUUCUGGUCAGCUAGGACCGUUUUUAUAUUAAUUUUGCGAUUUUUUUUGUUUUUAUUUUUAAGUUCUGCUUGUCAGCGGUUGUGUCUGACGUAUAUAUAUUUUCAAUUUUUAUUAUAUUUGUUUAAAGUAGCAAAAAAUCAUUGAACGUUUACUUUUUCGCCCUAUUCAAUAUUUUCUUUUACAAGCAAUUCUAUUCUCAUGUUGUUUGUUUGUUUUAUUACAUUCAGAGAGUGGAUGACAGAACUGAGCCGUUCUUUUCGGUUGAUAUUAAUAUUUUUUAUCUGUUUGAAUAACCACACUCCAAAUUUUUCAUUUUUUCAUACGCUUUUGCAAUUUUUUUGUUUGAUUUUUUCAAUUAUUUCUCUCUUACAUACAUGUUAAUUACUUUUGUUUACCUAAGCCUGCCCAAUCGCUUCUCAAGUAUAUAGAAGAUGAAACUCUCUUCAAUUCAACCAAAUGCAUUCAUUACAAAA